rnacentral:rRNA from 1 species
CCUACGGGCGGCAGCAGUGAGGAAUAUUGGUCAAUGGACGAGAGUCUGAACCAGCCAAGUAGCGUGAAGGAUGACUGCCCUAUGGGUUGUAAACUUCUUUUAUAUGGGAAUAAAAUGUUCCACGUGUGGGAUUUUGUAUGUACCAUAUGAAUAAGGAUCGGCUAACUCCGUGCCAGCAGCCGCGGUAAUACGGAGGAGCCGAGCGUUAUCCGGUUUUAUUGGGUUUUAAGGGAGCGUAGGUGGAUUGUUAAGUCAGUUGUGAAAGUUUGCGGCUCAACCGUAAAAUUGCAGUUGAAACUGGCAGUCUUGAGUACAGUAGAGGUGGGCGGAAUUCGUGGUGUAGCGGUGAAAUGCUUAGAUAUCACGAAGAACUCCGAUUGCGAAGGCAGUUCACUGGACUGCAACUGACACUGAGGCUCGAAAGUGUGGGUAUCAAACAGGAUUAGAUACCCGUGUAGUC